UAUAAGGGAUUUUGAGUUUUUGCUUGCACUGUUUGACCACUCGUCUUAUUUAAAAAAUUUUGGAAUUAUUAUUUAUUUUUUUGUGACUUACUUUAUUAUCCAAAGUACUUUAAGCACAACUUUUCAUUUUUUUUAAUAUUUGCACAAAUUUUUUAAAUAAGACGAGUGGUCAAACAAUACAAACAAAAACUCA
rnacentral:pre_miRNA from 1 species